UGUGGCCCGGCCCAAGUUGGUUUCACAAUUAAUCUAGGUCAUUACCUUUUCCCAGCCUCCCUGUUCCUCUCGAUCUCUCUCACGCUGCCCACCGCCCCUCAACCUACCUGCAUCCCGGAGCGCCGCCCCUCACCACUCCCCUGCGAUCCUCCGUCUCGGAAGGCCGCCCCUCACCACUCCCCCUGCGAUUCUCCAUCCUGGCGCGCUGUCCCUAGUCAACUCUCCUCUGCGACCUUGCUUCCCGGUGCGCCGCCCCUCGUCACCGCUUCCCUACGACCUACUACGUCUACUACCUCCGCACGAGGGCCUGCGGCUACGGGCAGAGUUACCGCUACAACAACCCUCGCAAUCGCGCUGCCGUGGUGAGCCGGACCGCUUUUCUUCUCCAAUUUUAUUUUCCCCAUCUUGCUCUACUCGACUUCAGUCUAGUUGGGAAUUGCUACUUACGACUUGCUCGUCCCUGAUAAUGACCGAGAGGUUGAAUUAUAGAUGGUUGGUGCGGAGGGGAGCUUCUAGCUGAGGCCUCUUGCUGUGAUUGAAUUGAUUCUAGUUAUGGCUCAGGAGCUUGUCACCAGCCCAUGGAAGUGAAACUUGAUUGUGCAGUCGUUGGUUGUUGUCUUUGAUUAUGUGAUUGACUGAUUGUAUAAUAAGGCUUGUUGUCUUAGUCUCGUGGUUGAUGUUGAUGCUUCAAAGUUCCACUUUCUGCUUACGGUGCCACUUGCUUAUGUUGUAGGCCUGAUCACUCACGCCGUCAUAUGCUCAUAUUUCUUUCCGAGACUUCGGAGCAGCUCGGUCGACUAAGCCACUGUGACGCUGGGGGAGAAGGACAUCGGUGCAGAGCAUGGCAAGGCCGAGUACUUGUUGGAUCUUAGGGCUUCUGAUCCACAGUUCUCCGCAUCAUCAUCCAUCAGCAUCUGGUGACAUUAUUAGCACUCAGAGCUUCAUAAGGCUUUCUGCCCACUACAGUUGGAGUUCAAGAGCGUAAGGAAGGUAAUCUGGUGAUCAAUCACUGUUGCUUGUCAGAAAACUCUGAAAAUAUUAUUGAGUACAUCUACCAUGAGCUAUGCUUGCCAUUUUAAAAGAUGUUUAUGUGAGCUUCAUGUCAUAUCAAUUUUUUUUGAAGCAAGCAGAUCUUGGGAUUUACUUAUGAUUUAUGAACAGAAAAUGUUUACUGUGUAACCCCUAAAUACAGUAGAAGAGAUUAGAGAAGCAGGUCUUAUAAAACUACGCUGAGCGAGUAGUACUUAUUUAGUCAAGUGACAUGUUAGAUAAAAUUCUACACCUAUUACAACUUAUCUGACUUCUGUAUUUUGUAAAGAUAGCUGAACUAGAUUGUGUUCCAGGAAUAAAAAACCAUGGAUGUUUUCCAUUUAUUCACUUGGCUUUUGGAAUUUGAUUGAUGUCCCCUUUCUCAUAUUAUUAACAACAUAUACCUACACGGUUCUCUCUACUGGUUUGCCAAAUUCUAGACACUUCUUGUGUGGUCCAUGCUUCCUCUUUGUACUAUGCUUACCUACAUUCGUAAUAUCACUCCUUUAUUCCCUUGACGUGCUUUUCCUUUACAAAGAAGAAUACACACCAUGGGGAAAAGAGAAGUAAAUUUGUAUUUGUAGUCUACAAACAGGGCGUCCUAAUUAUUUGUUCGAGCAUGCUACAGUCUUGUUUUCUCUGCCGUGUCUUCUCCUUUUCUUAGUAGUGUCACUACUGAUUGAUCUGCUCAGAUGUGCUAUUUAGAGUUUGAUCUGGAUAUAUACUAGCUAUUUUAUUAGGAGUUGGUGGUAAAGAUGAACUAAUGGUCGAUCCUCCCUGCUGUCCUCGCUGCACUUCAUGCAAAAUCACUGGGCCGGUACUGGGAGUACCUCAUUUAUGAUGGAUCUUAUACUUCAAAGCUUAUUUAUAUUGUCUAAUAUGUUUUAUUUGUACUAAUUUAGUAAAUUUAAUUUAUCUUUUGGCUUAAUAUGUCCAAGGUAUUGAUAUAGUAAUAUUUUGUUACCUGAUUAAAGCUCAAACAUACUGCUUCAGUAUCUCCCAGUAGGUGCCUCAGAAUUAUGCAGUUGAUCGUACCAUACUGCUACUUGAAUAAAAAUGUUUAUCUUUGUGUUCUACACUGAAGCUAUCAUAUGAAGUUUAAUUAUUUUAAGCGUUCAUCACCAAAACUACUUUGUUGGUAGUGAAAGGCUUCAUAGAAUUUCAUAGAUGUUGCACAUCAUGAGAUUAACCCGUAGAAGAAUGUAUUCAUAACCAUAUGACGUGUGUGAUGUUGGGUUAUAGCCGUUGUAUGCUGAAAGGCUUUUUCCCUUGCUUCCUUCCAUUUUCUUCUAUGUGCAUUGACUAGACGUAUGUUUUUACAAUGUGGCAUGGUUUGAGCAUUUUAAAUUCUUUACACGCUUCCAUUAUUUCCCGCCCCAUUUAUAUUGGUAUGUCCUUUAAAUAGCAGGCAGGUACAUGUGUGAUGGCACAAUAUAACUCAGUGUUAGCUGGCUUAUAAUCUCUUAUCCCUUGAAAGACUUCAAAGAUGGCAUCUCAUGGGACAACACAAGAGACCAUAUAGUAAAGGAAAAGAUGCAAACACGAUAGGCAGGACCAAAAGUAUUUUUAAUGAGCCUGAAAAAUCAUAACAGAGACUGGUAUUGCUACAAUUGUAAGUUGUGAUCCUAAAUCUGAGCUUGAUGGUGCUGAAAUUACUAAUGAAUUGUAGGUAGUGCAUGUCGAUAUGGCACUUGUGAAAACUAAAUAUUUGGUAUGGAGUCGCAAAAACUGUAAUACUCUUGGUAAUGCAGAAUUUUUUUGCAUGGCAACCUUUAUUCAAAAGAUAAAUGGAUGAUUAUAUGGGUGUGUGGGCAAGCAUACUACUAUGAUGACGAUGAUGUUUGUGUUCAUGAUGAUGGAGACGGAUGCUUUCAGUUUUAGUAAAGUUGUAGGGAUGAUGUUCCUGUUGGACGAUGUUCCUCAAUUAUGUUUUAGUUAAUCUGUAGGGAUGUUGAUGCAUGCUUUCAAUUUAAGUUUCACCAUCAAGAGAACAUUUAUAUUAUACUCCCUCC